rnacentral:tmRNA from 1 species
GGGGGCGUAAUGGUUUCGACAGGAUUCAGGGUCUUAGGCAAGCAAGCAGCGGUACGGAACCGCUAUAAAAUCCGUUAAUAAAUUAAAUGCAGAAAAAAUUGUGUUCGGUGAUAAACCUAAAAAAGCUAAAAUUGUGCAGUUAGAAAAAAUUAAUUCAUUAACCAUGCGUGCAGCUUAACAAAAGCUUAAGUUAAUUUUUUUUUUAAGUGCGUCAUGAUAUAUCUACUAUCAAUAUAUUAAUGAUUGGUAAAUUUAGAUAGUGAAUGAUUCGAAAAAUUGUUCUUGGUUUCGAGUGGCCGUUAAAAAAAGAACUAUUUAUGUAUAAGUGUGCUUUUGCAGUUAUGCAUUAAGAAAAAUUAAACAAAAGCUAAGCUUGAAGAAAACCUAAGCAAAUGUUUUUUGGACAGGGGUCCGACUCCCCUCGCUUCCACCA